rnacentral:rRNA from 1 species
UGCCAGCAGCCGCGGUAACACGUACUGUGCGAACGUUAUUCGGAAUCACUGGGCUUAAAGGGUGCGUAGGCGGCUAGAUUAGUAGGAUGUGAAAUCCCACAGCUCAACUGUGGAACUGCGUUCUAAACUGUCUAGCUUGAGUAAGAUAGGGGUAUACGGAACUUCCAGUGGAGCGGUGAAAUGUGUUGAUAUUGGAAGGAACACCGGUGGCGAAGGCGGUAUACUGGGUCUUUACUGACGCUGAGGCACGAAAGCUAGGGGAGCGAACGGGAUUAGAUA